rnacentral:misc_RNA from 1 species
AUGUAACCGGACCGUUUGGGUGCCGUAAAACGUAUCUGUUCGGAAAGGGAGAUAUCAUACACCCUGUGUUUAUUUACCUUUGUUGCUUUGGCGGGCCGUCUUUUUUAGGCGUCGGCCCCGGCUGACCGCGCCCGCCAGAGAACCCAAACUCUUCUAUCAGUGAUGUCUGAGUACUAUAUAAUAGUUA